rnacentral:rRNA from 1 species
AUUGAACGCUGGCGGCAGGCUUAACACAUGCAAGUCGAACGAGUGGCGGACGGGUGAGUAAUGCAUGGGAAUCUGGCUUAUGGAGGGGGAUAACUACGGGAAAAUGUAGCUAAUACCGCAUACCAUAGGAUGAGCCCAUGUGGGAUUAGGUAGGUGGUGAGGUAAAGGCUCACCAAGGCGACGAUCCCUAGCUGGUCUGAGAGGAUGACCAGCCACACUGGGACUGAGACACGGCCCAGACUCCUACGGGAGGCAGCAGUAGGGAAUCUUCGGCAAUGGGCGAAAGUCUGACGGAGCAACGCCGCGUGUGUGAUGAAGGUCUUCGGGUCGUAAAGCUCUGUUAGUAGGGAAGCGGUACCUAAACAGAAAGCCACGGCUAACUACGUGCCAGCAGCCGCGGUAAUUC